GCUCUGUGGGUGCUCAAUAGGUGCUCCUCUGAUCUGCACAGGUGCUCCGCAGGUAUUCGGGGUGCUCCUCCGAUCUGCACAGGUGCUCCGUGGGUGCUCCACAGGGCUGCACGGGGCCUGCCCAGGCGCUCCCGCCCCGCUGCCACGUGUUGCCCAGGACAGCCGGAGCCCCGGGGCCGUGUUCACCGGCAGAGCCAACCCGCAGCCACAUCACAGGAAGGGCCCGUUCUCCUCACCCGGCUCCGCCUCCCUCCCUCAAUCCAGUAACUUCUGCCCCUCCCCCUCCGGGGAGUUGGGCCGCCGCACACACCCCUCUGGGAAACCCAGCGGUGUCACCGAGGGUGCUGACGCUUGUUCCCUGGGCCCCAGGUCUCGGCGGACAGAGAGCUCUGGGUCCCACAUACAAGCGGAGACAGCUUUCUGCGCCACUCGUGUCACUCCGCACUGCGACAGCGAGCCUGCGCUGAAUUUCCGCUGAGGCUCACACGGCCCUCACGGAGAACUUCCAGAUCCUGGCCCUGCAGCAUAACGUAAGGGAGUUUCUAUUUCCAGGGCUCAUGGCAACAGAGCCAUCACUGGGUCACUUCUCCUUGCUGGCCUCACCACCCACGAUGAGGCCCAGACUUCCCACAGUAUGUGCCUUCCUCCUCAGAAGCCAGGAAAAGCAUAUGAAAAGUACAACCCCAGUCCUCUUCCUGUCUCUAACCGCAGACACACAUUCCCAGGUGCCACCAUAUGUCAGCCUCGGUGAGGUUGAAGCCGACAGCUUCUUCUGGGAAGUUGAAGGAUGGAAAAUGCUCCAGGCUGACACAUAGCUCAGAAGACAUCUUCCAAGAGCAUUAAUGCCUACAUGGUUAUUUUGCAAUCGCCUAUCGUUCCCUGGAUCGCGACCUACUGAGUUUCGGGGAGCUUUUCUCUUCUCCCCGUUGGUCCUUUCUGGCCUCAACACCUUUGUGUCCUCAGCGGGUUUGGCCACCUGCAACCUGUCCCCUCGCCCAGGUCUUCAG
rnacentral:lncRNA from 1 species